rnacentral:tRNA from 1 species
GGGCGGUUAGCUCAGUUGGUAGAGCGGCUGCUUUACACGCAGCGGGUCGGCGGUUCGAGUCCGUCACCGCCCACCA